CAGGUUGGCAAUUUCAGAGUAGAACCACCUGGCUUGUUCAGGGGACGUGGAGAGCAUCCAAAGAUGGGAAGAUUGAAGCGACGCAUCCGACCAAGUGAUAUUACAAUAAACAUCGGAGAAGAGGCUCCCGUCCCAGUGUGCCCUAUACCUGGAGAAAGCUGGAAAGAAGUCAAACAUGACAAUACUGUUACAUGGUUGGCCUGUUGGAAUGAUCCGAUAAACGAAAAAGAUAUCAAGUAUGUUUUCCUUGCCGCAAGCAGCUCACUAAAGCGACAGAGUGACAAGGAGAAAUAUGAGAAGGCCCGGAAACUGAAGGAUUACAUACGCAGUAUUCGGGCAAAUUACACCAAGGAUUUCAGGAGCAAAGAUCAGAGGAAGAAACAAAUUGCAGUGGCAACAUACCUUAUAGAUAAACUAGCCCUCAGGGCAGGCGAUGAAAAGGAUGAGGAUGAGGCAGAUACUGUUGGUUGUUGUACACUGAAGGUUGAAAAUGUUACUUGUUUGCCUCCAAACAAGCUUCAGUUUGACUUUCUUGGUAAAGAUUCUAUAAGAUACUAUAACACUGUAGAGGUUGAACUAGCUGUAUACGAGGCGAUUAAGGAAUUCUGUGCAGGUAAAAAGAAGGGAGGACAUGUCUUUGACAAGCUUGAUACAACUAAACUAAAUGCUCAUCUCAAGGACUUAAUGCCUGGCCUGACUGCAAAAGUCUUUCGUACAUACAAUGCUUCCAUCACUUUGGACACCAUCUUGAACAAAGAAACAACAGAUGGAACCGUUGAUGAAAAAGCUAAAGUCUAUCAACGAGCAAACAAAGAGGUUGCUAUAAUCUGUAACCAUCAGCGUGCUGUCCCAAAAUCACAUGAUUCCCAGAUGAAUAAGUUGAAUGAAAAGAUUGAUGAAUUAACGGCUCAGAGGGAUCAGUUGAACGUAGAAUUGGAGAAAGUGAAGAAACGAAAGCUUGUAGGCUCUGAUGGAGAUGCGAAGCGAAGGAGAAAAUUGACCCCUGAAAUGUUGCAGAAGAAGUUAUCUCAGGUUGAAACUAGGAUAGUGGAAACGGAUAACCACAAGAACAACAAAGAAGAUUUGAAGACGGUGGCACUAGGCACAUCAAAGAUCAACUACCUUGAUCCUAGAAUUACUGUGGCGUGGUGCAAAACCCAUGAAGUUCCUAUUGACAGGAUUUUCACCAAGACAAUUCUGGAGAAAUUUGCAUGGGCGAUGGAUGUCGACCCAGAUUUCAGAUUCUAA
rnacentral:rRNA from 1 species